AGCUCAGUUCGGUAGAGCAACUCGUUUACACACCGAGAAGGUCUACGGUUCGAAUCCGUAUAGCCCUA
rnacentral:tRNA from 2 species